ensembl:snRNA U6 U6 spliceosomal RNA
UUGCUUCAGCAGCACGUAUUCUAAAAUUGGAAUAAUGCAGAGAACAUUAGUAUGGUCCUUGCACAAGGAUGACAUGCAAAUUCAUGAAGUGUUCCAAAUUUUU